rnacentral:rRNA from 1 species
AUUGAACGCUGGCGGCAGGCCUAACACAUGCAAGUCGAGCGGAUGAAGGGAGCUUGCUCCUGGAUUCAGCGGCGGACGGGUGAGUAAUGCCUAGGAAUCUGCCUGAUAGUGGGGGAUAACGUCCGGAAACGGGCGCUAAUACCGCAUACGUCCUGAUGGAGAAAGUGGGGGAUCUUCGGACCUCACGCUAUCAGAUGAGCCUAGGACGGAUUAGCUAGUUGGUGGGGUAAAGGCCUACCAAGGCGACGAUCCGUAACUGGUCUGAGAGGAUGAUCAGUCACACUGGAACUGAGACACGGUCCAGACUCCUACGGGAGGCAGCAGUGGGGAAUCUUCGACAAUGGGCGAAAGCCUGAUCCAGCCAUGCCGCGUGUGUGAAGAAGGUCUUCGGAUUGUAAAGCACUUUAAGUUGGGAGGAAGGGCAGUAAGUUAAUACCUUGCUGUUUUGACGUUACCAACAGAAUAAGCACCGGCUAACUUCGUG